AAUCAGACCAUUGAAGGCAGGGUCAG
rnacentral:misc_RNA from 1 species